UAUACUAUCCAGAUUAUAAUAUUAGAACGUAAGUAAGUCAAUUAAUUUUGUAGUUCUUUUGUAACAUUUAACAUUAAUAUCUACCAGGAAGCUAGAAGAAUAAUAUAAACGGCUUAGCCAAGUUGCGUAGUCAUGUCAUUGUUUAUUUGUCUGGUUUAGUAAAAUGGUGAUCGUUAAAAGAGAAGUAAUUUUUGUGUUGUUUUGCUUGAACCUGAUCAGUGGCAAAAGUUCUUUAAGACCAGUAAAUAAUGAUGGAAAUGUUGUCGGAUUUCGGGAUGCAAAACAAUUACUAAUUUUUUUGUAUCCACGCCUACCUUCCGCUCCUUUGGUCAGAUCAAACCUAGAAAUAGAAAUUCCUGAAGAUAUGGAAGUCCACAAAGCUGUCAGCGACAUAGUAGAACAUCAAAAACAAAUAAUUGAAGACCCAAACCCAGAUAAAACUGCGAUGCUGAGAUGGACUGAUCCAUGCGAUAGGAGAGGUAUAAGGCUUUGCAAGAGGGCUUGCUACCUUGCCUAUAAAACAGUCUGCACUACCUUUCAUUGUAGGCGAAAAAUGAAGAGAUCAUUUAGGAGGGAAUGCCGGAGGGCUUGUAGAAGUUACUUUAUGAGGCACUCAAGGGAUUGAGAUUUUUUUUUUAUUUAAAUACAUAGGUACUAUUUAA